AUGGAGUUUCACUCUUGUUGCCCAUCCUGGUGUACAAUGGCGCGAUCUCGGCUCACUUCAACCUCCGCCUCCCAGUGCGUCCGGAAUUGGUGGGUUCUUGGUCUCACUGACUUCAAGAAUGAAGCUGCGCACCCUCACGGUAUACAAUUUUAUUGCCAAGCAAUAAAAUUGGCAAGAAAACCAAAGUUAUUGUUCAGUACUUUGUAUUGUUCUACUCUGUGCCCACCAAAUGUCAAAGCACUGGAAGGACAGAGGGACAAGAGGGAUGGCCCUUUCAGGACGGGAACCCACGUCUGGCUGGAGAGAUAA
ensembl:lncRNA ATP8B1-AS1 ATP8B1 antisense RNA 1